rnacentral:rRNA from 1 species
UAGAGUUUGAUCAUGGCUCAGGAUAAACGCUGGCGGCAUGCCUAACACAUGCAAGUCGAACGGGGUUUAUAUAACAGAACUCUCCGGAGGGAAGUUAUAUAAACCUAGUGGCGGACGGGUGAGUAACGCGUGGGGAACCUGCCCUGUACCGGGGGACAACAGCCAGAAAUGGCUGCUAAUACCGCAUAAUCCUGCGCUGCCGCAUGGCAGCGCAGGGAAAACUCCGGUGGUACAGGAUGGUCCCGCGUCUGAUUAGCUUGUUGGCGGGGUAACGGCCCACCAAGGCGACGAUCAGUAGCCGGCUUGAGAGAGCGGACGGCCACAUUGGGACUGAGACACGGCCCAGACUCCUGCGGGAGGCAGCAGUGGGGAAUAUUGCACAAUGGGGGGAACCCUGAUGCAGCAAUGCCGCGUGGGUGAAGAAGUACCCCGGUAUGUAAAGCCCUGUCAGCAGGGAAGAAAAUGACGGUACCUGACUAAGAAGCCCCGGCUAACUACGUGCCAGCAGCCGCGGUAAUACGUAGGGGGCGAGCGUUAUCCGGAUUUACUGGGUGUAAAGGGAGCGCAGGCGGCGUGGCAAGUCAGAUGUGAAAACCCGGGGCCCAACCCCGGGACUGCAUUUGAAACUGCCAUGCUGGAGUGCCGGAGAGGCAAGUGGAAUUCCUAGUGUAGCGGUGAAAUGCGUAGAUAUUAGGAGGAACACCAGUGGCGGAGGCGGCUUGCUGGACGGUAACUGACGCUGAGGCUCGAAAGCGUGCGGAGCAAACAGGAUUAAAUACCCUGGAAGUCCACCCCCGUAAACAAGAAUAACCGGUGGCCGGGGGACAUAAGUUU